rnacentral:lncRNA from 1 species
UAAGAACUGUGAUAAUAUUAUUUAGAGGAAGGUGUUUACAACUCAUCUCAGAUGAAAAUGUUCUGCUCAGAUGUAAAGAAAACACCGCUUAAGCAAUAUUGUGUUUCUUCAUACCGACUCAUUUUAGUUCCGUGGGAAAAACGGAUUGCACAAGGAGAUACACUACAUGCUAGUAUUGUGUACACAUAUCCUUCAACACCAGGUAAGAAAUCACCACCAUCUUGAAUUUCAUGAAGACCCCUCAGUCUAUCUGGCAUGCUUUUGUUACCUGAAAUUAUUUAUGCCUUUAGACAUUAGUCAAAGGCAUCUCCACAUCUUAGCUCUUUUCACUAAGCUAGAGUGGCUUCCUUUCCGAAAACUUGUUUUUAUUUGUGAAUUUAAAUUGUCUCUAUCUGGGAAAGAGACAACUCAAGACAAUAAACCAAAGGCUGUGGUAGAACUAAACACAUAUGUAAUAAAAGUUGGAUCCAUUGAUAGCACGUGUUGCCACACCCAUCCAUAUCUCCAUUAAAAUGAUAGGAGUUUCUUUAUUUUUUUGUAGAAUGACUAAACAUAAGACCAUAAACUAACAUGCUAGAUAUUAACAAAAUAAUGUUGUAACAAAUGUGCGCCAAUUGUUUGGUUUCAUCUACAAAUCACAUAAAUAUGGAUCAGUAUGUGAAACAAAAGUGAGCUUGGAUUGCUCAUGGGUAGCUAGAGCAUGUGUAAAAUAUGAAAUGAAUCAAUAGCCAUCCCACAGCCUGAGAUGCAAGCUCAAUAAAAAAUACUUUCACAAUGCUUGUCGUACGGAAGGCCAGAGUCACCACAACCAUAGACAUUAUUGCCUUAGAUUACCUCAGCCAACAUGAUAUUCAUCCCAAUAAUAUACCUACAGGCUUGCAUUAAAAUGACAGAAAAAUAAUAAAUGUUCGUACGGAUGUGGGAUAAAGUUCUACUUGAAUAAAAGAAACUCUAUUCCAUAAAUAAUAUCAAGUGUGGCUGAAUCAAAGGAAGAGAUGAAUUUAACAUAGACGACAAUAUAGGAAUAAUAUUAAAGUGGGUUGUUAGAAAAAAGGUGAUUGCGACAUCAUCAAUGGUGCAGAUAAAUAUGGGAAGAUAUCUCAUGAAGUGCACCCUAUCCUCAGAGGUUAUGAUCGCACGCUUUUCUAUCGAUGCAUGGUUUUUCGUAAUUAAUUUGGCGACUCUAUCUUUCCAUAUAGCAGAUAACUCAUGAAUUUGCAAGAAAAUAUUGAGCGGCCGACUCCUAAUAUUUUGCAUAGAGUAUAUGCUUAAGCGGCCGGCAUUCCUUCUAGUUGAUGGAUGUGGACUUGCUUAUACCAGUUAAUCAAUCAACAUUAGUUUUGCUCUAGACAAGGACAAUAGUGAAAUUAGGGAUCUCGCCACUAUUUCUAUUUUUUUCUUCAUUUAAAUGCAUCAUAAACCAGACAACUUGCUCAAGCUGUCAAAAUGUAUCAUGCCUGAUCUGACACCACAUAUUCUCACAAACCAGGCAACCAGCUCAAGGUCCUAAAAUGAAAGAACCUUAAUCACCCAGGUUGCAUCAUGCCUAAUCGAGUAUGAUCUACGAGGAGUAUAUUUUGUGUAGACAAAAUUCACAAACAAGAUCUGAAUGAAUAAUAAUAGUUUGCACUGCGUCGACAAACAUGAGCUCACCCAAGAUGGCGUGCAAAUAUGAUGGUUGUAGAAUCUGCCACAACGAGUGAAACAAAAAAACAAGAAAGUCAUAAGGUGUGGGGAAUGGAUAGGUUAUUGAUUGGAAAUAGAGUACAUUUUUUGAUAGAUCAAAUUAAUAUGUGUGCAUAAUGCAUAGUAUACAUGUUAGUAAUCACAAAUAUCAUGAUAUCAGUCCAACAAAUGCCCACUGUUCAAACCUGCAUACCAACAAAAGAAUGUGUUAAAUAUCUGAAAAGGAGCGUUUGAAGAACAAUGAAGCACCACUAAGUAACUUUUUUGGUGUAGAGUAUGCUAGUUACAGAACAUGCCUUAUUCAGACAUCCAGAGUUAUAAUGUUCUUCAAGUCUGCUAUUGGAGGAUUCAAAAGGAAUGACACAAAGCCUUACUUCAUAUACAAACCGUUGCCUUGCAGCCUCUCCACUCGGAUUCAAAAGGAAUGCCACAGUAAACAAUUCAAUAACUAAUGAUAACUAAUUAUUCAAAAGAGCAUAAGAGCACAUCAGGACUACUUUCCCAAUGAAGAGGAGCAAACUUACAUCAGUAACGUGGUUGUCUGGCAGCUUUUUUUGAGUGGGAUUGCCUUGCAGCUGCCCCACUAGCCCACAAGAAAGCCCGGCGAUGUAGAUGUCCCAAAUUUACUAUUAUGCGAGAAUGUUUCUAAAUUAUUACUGAAGCCGGAUGCAGAUAACUAUCAACAAAACUGAUUACCAUCGAAACCCUCUAAUUCGAGCACCCAAACCCUAGCGCCUCGCUCACCUCGUCAUCGUCGGUGGACUCCCUCUCCUCCUCAACUUCUUCCCCGCCCGCAGCGGCAGCACCGCCAUCAUCCUAGUCGUCAGCGCCCGCACCGGUUGUGAGUUGUGACAGACUCGGU